GGUGAUACUGUAACAAGCCUCUGUCUCUCCCAGACAAAUGACAGGACAGGAAUCCACACUGGUGACUCAUUUGUAUCCCAGAACACUAGGCUGAGGAUUUAGAAGGGAUCGCUAUUCCCCAGAGACUCAUUCAGGAAAAGAGAUAAGACACCAUCAUGAGUCAUUAAAAAAUUUUAAAUGCUCACAGCAAGGGUAGUCACAUAGAGAUGGGGGAGAGGAAAAUUUUCCCAAACUUGUCCCUUCUCUACCCAGCCACAGCCGGGGUCAGGGGACCCUCCUCUCUUCCCAGAACAGGUGUUGCCCACGGCUGUCCCACCCAUCCCAGCUCUGCCCUCUCCCUCUGCACCCAGGACAACCUCAAAGGCCUCCUGUGGUCUUCAAGUGGUCCUCAUGGUCCCCCGUAGCCCCUCACGGGACUCCACGGCACCGUGAGCACAAGGCAGGCCGGCCUUCUCCCACAUGGGUCUGUUCUACCUGGAAUUUUCUCCCCGAGCUCUGCUCUGGGCUUAUCGUUCAGAUCUUGGCUUCAGUGUUGUGCCCCCGAAGGGUCUCUUCCGGAUCUCUCUGUAGAAGGACUCAAUGCCUGGCCAGAGUCAUCACGCAGAAUAUGAAAAAUCGAUGAUGCAUUGUUGCUCUGAGCGUCCUCAAAGAGGUUAUGUUCCUUAUUGAUUCACUGGAACACAUUAAAGCCCUGUACUGAAAUCCUGACGAA